AGGAUGUAUGCUGCAAGCUCCUGCAUAAGAACCUGUGACUCUCCAGGUUGUUGAGAUUGUGGACCUGGACUACUCUGCAGAUGACCAGCUGACCAUAGAUACUGACUGGGAUGCUGAGCCGCUGCUGCUGAGUUGAUGCCUGAGAUGGGCCUUAUGGUAGGAAGUGACUCAGUUUGCAGCUGGUGAGGCUAUGCCUGUCUUUGAAGCACUUGAAUCUCCUCUCACCUGUAUAAGGUGCUCACCCCAGGCUGUCUCCCAAUUCUGAGCAGAUGCAAUGAGAAGCAAAAGGCAGUGCUCUCACAAUUCCAGGACUAUGAAGAGAAGUAAGUGGCCUUCAAUUCAUAUCAUGUCAGUCAAUCAACAAAGCCACUUGACAGGGAACUUGGAGAUGUCUUAUGAGGCCAGUAAUCAAAAUUAUUCUAUCCAAAUUUGGCUUUUUCUCAGACUAUAGGCAUCUAGUUAAAGCUGGCCACAACUCUGGAAAGGAAGAAGCAUCCAUAAGAUCUAAUAGCUGGGGAACAGAAAGGAAUCAAGCUAGAUCUUUUGAGAGAUCAGGCCAUCUUCAAGAAACUCUUCCUCAGAACUGUUCUCUCUAGCAUGUAUCCUCUCAGUCCAUUCCUCCCACUUCAAAUGUGUAUGAGUUACUUGGAAACUGAGGGAAUCUUGGCACUGCAAAACUGUGGUCUGGGGAAAUUCCACAAGAUUUGAGGAUAAAACCACUGCAAAACCGUUUGUCGUGGACUGGCCACUAAGCAGCAUUGUGAGCAAUUGAGGAGCAUGAUUUUUUUUGCCUCCCUCUGAAUUAUCAGCUCUUAGCUAUUGCAGAAGGCAGAAUACUGGGAUUGAUUGACCAAUUGUGUGAAGGGACUACAGGUGAUGCUCAGGCCUGACUGCAGGCUACUAUCCCACAAUAAAAAUGAUCUGGCACGUGCUGGAGAAAGACCUUAAAAUAAAACUCAGGGAAAACCUGAUAGACUGAAAUAUGAAGACACUUGAGGGCCGCAUAGAGGAAAACAGCACUUCAAGAAGAUCCAUUUGAUUAGAGGACUAUCAGUUUUGUUUUUUUUCUAAACUUAGUACCUUGGCUAUUGCUAAUAAAGAAAUGUAUUUACUGAAUCAGUAGUUUACAUUUAAAGGAGCUAUUGUGGUUGUUGCAUAGCCAGUAGUUAGAUGACUGAACAUAUAUUCUGGGACAAGGAUGCAGCAGUCCACCUUCUGGUGAAGGUCAAUAUAGAGAACAUCCCUGGUACCAACGGGUUUUUUUAUCUCAAAGUAAGAAUUUUUAUUUUCUAAUGUCCAUUUUGCAGCUGUCCUUGAGUAACCAAUCACAUCAUAUUUUUGUAGAAAUGCAUUUCAUUCUCUAGGAAAUGACUCAUACAAUGUGGCAAAAUAUAAGACUACUGUUUACUGGUAGUUGGCUCCUAUUUAUCUAUUUGAGUUGAACUGAUCCAGUUGACUCUUAGAACAAGAGGUUUUAUCAUUCGCAAAUGUUGCAAAGUUGAUUUUGUUUUAUAUUUUUCAUAUUGGUUUUGAGUUGCUGGAUUUAUUUCCUUUUCAAAUUACUUUUUCCUAAAAAAACUCUGUUGAAACUUAGUAUGUUAACAAAUGAGGACAAUGUAUUAGUUCUUGAGAUCCAUUAUGGAUUAGCCAUGAUACUUGCACAAAUAUCUUUAAUGGGAAACUAGGCAAGGAAUAUUUUAUUUUUCUCUUGACCGCCUGUGGGUGUAUCUGUUCUGUCUCCUCCUCUGCUGGUAUCCAGCCUAUGUCGUCUUGAGGUGGAUUUUGAAGCUGAAAAAUUCUAGUUUGAAGUCAAUAUUCUUGCCACUUAUAUCUUUCAUUCUCUACUGGUCUCUCUGUAGUUUGUUCAUCUUUUCUCUAAAUUUUCAAGUGAAGACCAUAAAGAAUUGUUUUUGUGUCUUACAUUGUGAGGGAGUUGAAAGUCUACAUCAAUAAGUAAUUGCCUUGAUGAAAAGUACUAUAUUAAUUAUUUCAAAGCAUUGUGGAAGGAGCUGGGUUUUUUCUUUGUUCGUGAAAGUAGAUUUUAUAAUUGUAAGUGCUUUUUUUCCCUAAAACAUCUCACAAAAUGACACUUAAAAUUGCAAUAGUACAAAGGCCAACCUCCCCAAAAAGCCGCCAAACAACCUCCUUGACUUUUUUCCUUUAGUCUUAUGUUGGGCUGCUUUAUUGUCUGAGUAUCUGAAUCAGAUAAAUAUCAUUUGUCUAGUAGAUCUAUUUGGGACUGAUCCAGUGCUUUUGAGAUCCAGCGAAAGAGUCCCAUUGACUUCAAAUGGGGAUUAGAUCAGGCCUGUAGCUAAUGCAAAUACUUCAGCAAAACUGAGAUUGAACUGCUGUAUGUGUGACCUUUGAGAAUGGAGGGUACUGCAAUUUUUAACUUUCUAUACCACUUGCUUCAGAAUUCCACCAAGUUAAUCAUUAUGCACUGGUAUUCUAUUACAAAGGAAAGAGGAAUGUAUGCCAUACAGUAUAUUUGUUGUGGGAUUUUUCCCCCUUGACAGUAUCCCCUUAAUUUCUCUCUCCCUUUACUAUGUAUUUUUCAUCUUUGUAAUUGUAUUCUUUCAGUCUGCAUAGCCUAUUGGGAUGCAGUUUGUAUGAUAGGUACUAUACAAAAUAAUGUGUUAUAGCAUAAAGUAUUGUUUUUAAAUGUUAGGUAUAUUGCCCAUUGAUUUCAUUUUUAUUGCACUCCAAACUCACAAGCCACUUUAACAGUAAAUUCUC